AUGUCCGAGCCACAGCCUGCCGGUGCCUGGGGUUUAAUUUUGAGGCCAAGUCGAAUGAUGACUCUGGGUUUGUCUAUUGAGGAAAUUGUUUUAGCUGUGGGGCGUGGAUGGACAAGACGGGAGAGAGUGACACAGCUCAUAACAAAGGAAUCCCAGCUACACCCAGGUCGUAAUACCUCUUUGGCCUAUGAAGGGUGGAACAGGAGGAUCCAGCAGAACUUUGAGAUGAAUCAACGUCUGUUGCCCGGUGCGAUGUGUCUCACAACCUUCAGGACCCCAAUGAGAAACAUCCAGACCUGGUGCACAAGAGAGGCAUCUACAAGGACAGACAUGGGGCCGCCCAUUCCUGGUGUGACUAGCAGCUAAGGCCUAACUUUGCUAUCACCAUUGUGGUGGUAACCACUGUUCCUUUUUUACUGCCUCAUUAGCUUUGUAGCUAAAGUCCUAGUGUCCUGUCCAAGGGAAUUAAUUCUACAUCAAACUGCCUCAUGCUAAAGAAACAGGAAGAUAGGACCCCUACCCGAUGGGUCACUCUGGCUCUGAUAAGGCUUACAUAGCUACGUCAUUAGUGUUGUAAAGGAAAGUCAGUACUCUGGAUAACCCGAACACUAUCAAUGUGGGUGAAGAAAAGGUUAUCACACAUUUCUGUCAUUAAUAGCCCUGCUACUGUAAGACAGGUCUGUCUCUGGCUAACCCUAACCCUGUACUAAGGUUACUAAUGUAUUUUUGCUGACCAUUAUGUGAGUGUAAUGGCCGUCGUCAGUGGAAGAAGGUGAGCACCAAGGUGCAGCGUGGUAUGUGUCCAUAUUUAUUAAAUGAACACGGAAAUAACAGAGAAACGCCCAAAAACAGUUCUGGCUGGUGCAGACACACAACAGAAAACAAUCACCCACGAAACACAAUAGAAAACAGGCUACCUAAAUAUGGUUCUCAAUCAGGGACAACGAUUGACAGCUGCCUCUGAUUGAGAACCAUACCAGGCCAAACACAGAAAUAGCAAAUCAUAGAAAAACUAACAUAGACAACCCACCCAACUCAUGCCCUGACCAUACUAAAACAAAGACAUAAUAAAAGAACUAAGGUCAGAACGUGACAGUGAGUCUUUCAAACAAAUAUACUGUCCAGUAUUCCCCAGGCUGCAUUACAGUGUCUCUAUAAAGUAUUAUUUCUU
rnacentral:lncRNA from 1 species